rnacentral:rRNA from 1 species
UUCGCCCUUAGAGUUUGAUCCUGGCUCAGAGCGAACGCUGGCGGCAGGCUUAACACAUGCAAGUCAAGCGGGCCCUUCGGGGUCAGCGGCAGACGGGUGAGUAACGCGUGGGAACGUGCCCUUCGGUUCGGAAUAACCCUGGGAAACUAUGGCUAAUACCGGAUACGCCCCUUGGGGGAAAGGUUUACUGCCGAAGGAUCGUCCCGCGUCUGAUUAGCUAGUUGGUGAGGUAACGGCUCACCAAGGCGACGAUCAGUAGCUGGUCUGAGAGGAUGAUCAGCCACACUGGGACUGAGACACGGCCCAGACUCCUACGGGAGGCAGCAGAAGGG